ACGGGCUCCAGUUUGUCCAGAUUCACACACUAAAACACACAGAGAGAGGUCAGGUCAGGUGUGAACGGUCCCCACAGAGUCAGUGAGGUAGAGACGGUCCCCACAGAGACAGCGAGAUAGAGCCGGUCCCCACAGAGACAGCGAGUUAGAGACGGUCCCCACAGAGUCAGCGAGGUAGAGACGGUCCCCACAGAGACAGCGAGGUAGAGACGGUCCCCACAGAGUCAGCGAGGUAGAGACGGUCCCCACAGAGACAGCGAGGUAGAGACGGUCCCCACAGAGUCAGCGAGUUAGAGACGGUCCCCACAGAGACAGCGAGGUAGAGACGGUACCCACAGAGUCAGCGAGGUAGAGACGGUCCCCACAGAGUCAGCGAGUUAGAGACGGUCC